CAGUCGCCACGGUAAUACAGAGGGUGCGAGCGUUAAUCGGAUUUACUGGGCGUAAAGCGUGCGUAGGCGGCUUCUUAAGUCGGAUGUGAAAUCCCUGAGCUUAACUUAGGAAUUGCAUUCGAUACUGGGAAGCUAGAGUAUGGGAGAGGAUGGUAGAAUUCCAGGUGUAGCGGUGAAAUGCGUAGAGAUCUGGAGGAAUACCGAUGGCGAAGGCAGCCAUCUGGCCUAAUACUGACGCUGAGGUACGAAAGCAUGGGGAGCAAACAGGAUUAGAUACCCCGGUAGUCCCUGUCUCUUAACA
rnacentral:rRNA from 1 species